rnacentral:rRNA from 1 species
CGGUGUUUAACUGGCGUGAUGUGGGACGUCCUACCGGUGGGCUUAGCCUCGCGAGGGGCGGCCCAACUAAUAUCCCGUCGCGGUGCUCUUUACUGAGUGUCGAGUCGGGCCGGUACGUUUACUUUGAACAAAUUAGAGUGCUUAAAGCAGGCUAUCCUCGCCUGAAUACUGCGUGCAUGGAAUAAUGGAAUAGGACCUCGGUUCUAUUUUGUUGGUUUUCGGAACCCCGAGGUAAUGAUUAAUAGGGACGGAUGGGGGCAUUCGUAUUGCGACGUUAGAGGUGAAAUUCUUGGAUCGUCGCAAGACGGACAGAAGCGAAAGCAUUUGCCAAAAAUGUUUUCAUUAAUCAAGAACGAAAGUUAGAGGUUCGAAGGCGAUCAGAUACCGCCCUAGUUCUAACCAUAAACGAUGCCAGCUAGCGAUCCGCCGAAGUUCCUCCGAUGACUCGGCGGGCAGCUUCCGGGAAACCAAAGCUUUUGGGUUCCGGGGGAAGUAUGGUUGCAAAGCUGAAACUUAAAGGAAUUGACGGAAGGGCACCACCAGGAGUGGAGCCUGCGGCUUAAUUUGACUCAACACGGGAAACCUCACCAGGCCCAGACACCGGAAGGAUUGACAGAUUGAUAGCUCUUUCUUGAUUCGGUGGGUGGUGGUGCAUGGCCGUUCUUAGUUGGUGGAGCGAUUUGUCUGGUUAAUUCCGAUAACGAACGGGACUCUAGCCUGCUAAAUAGGCGUACCUUAUGGUAUCGCGAAGGCCCCCGGCUUCGGCCGGUGGGUUUUUACUACCAACGUACAAACAAAUCUUCUUAGAGGGACAGGCGG